UAGUCCACGCCGUAAACGAUGUCAACUAGCCGUUGGGGGCUUGACCCUUUAGUGGCGCAGCUAACGCAAUAAGUUGACCGCCUGGGGAGUACGGCCGCAAGGUUAAAACUCAAAUGAAUUGACGGGGGCCCGCACAAGCGGUGGAGCAUGUGGUUUAAUUCGAUGCAACGCGAAGAACCUUACCAGGUCUUGACAUCCUGAAAACUUUCUAGAGAUAGAUUGGUGCCUUCGGGAAUUCAGUGACAGGUGCUGCAUGGCUGUCGUCAGCUCGUGUCGUGAGAUGUUGGGUUAAGUCCCGUAACGAGCGCAACCCUUGUCCUUAGUUACCAGCGCGUUAUGGCGGGGACUCUAGGGAGACUGCCGGUGACAAACCGGAGGAAGGUGGGGACGAUGUCAAGUCCUCAUGGCCCUUAUGUCUAGGGCUACACACGUAAUACAAUGGUGCAUACAAAGGGAAGCGAACUCGCGAGGGGGAGCAAAUCUCAAAAAGUGCAUCUCAGUCCGGAUUGGAGU
rnacentral:rRNA from 1 species